UUUUAUAACCGUGAUCAUUUUCUGCGACAUAUUUCAGAUUUGAUUCUUGGUUUAAUUUCCAGAAACUUUUCAAAAACAUGGAAAAAAAUCGUACAAACAUAUUUUCUUUAUAUUUGAUGAUCACUUUUUUACUAAUAUCAACUUUUAUCAUGAUGGUGGUCACUGAAUCAAGCGUCAUAAAUGUUCCGAUUCAAUGUCCUCCUGACCAAGUACAAGUUGGUCAAAAAUGCAAAAGACAAUACUGAAUUUAAAGACAGUUACAGAGGACUUGCAGUCACGACGAUGAGAUUGCAGUUUAUAUUUGGAAAACAAUAGAAAUGAUUACAAAUGGAUAUUGAAAGCAAAUAUAAAUAAACUACUGUAAAUGGAUAAUUUCUGAGUUUUGAUUUAUAAAGUCUGCAGCUUCAUGAAUUAAAUAUAAAAAGACAA